rnacentral:ncRNA from 1 species
UUGGUUCCGGUUCACCCCAUGACGCCCUCGCGCCGCGACGGCAGGGGACCCGGCGGCC